CCCCCUCCCCUUCCCACUACUAUCACCGCCCAUCCCCUUUCUAUUGCCACCGUCGCCACCCUUUCUUUAUUUUAAUAUUUACUUAUAGUGAGCUCCUUCAAUUAAAAUGGUCAACUUUGAAGUUUCUAGGUCGAAUUCAACCAUAAAACUUCAAAGCUACAAUUUUAAUGAUCAAAUUUGACCUUAUGAAGCUAUUUUCCUAUGUCGCCUCGAAUCAAAUAAGAAAAUAAGUCUUCAGGGAAACCAAAUUUCAAUUGUCACCAGUAUAAAUUUUCCAAGCCUUAUUCCCCUUGUGUUGGUCGCAAGUGCAAGCCAACAAGUUCCAUCUUUUUUUAUGUUUUACCUUCCCGUUUAAUAAAUUUAUUACUAGUAUGGUGUCACGUAAAAUAUGUGAUAAGUUUAAGGUGUCGACCGUCGACUCAUAAAAAGACUUGUUUCCACUCGUCAAAAAUCAGGAUUAACAGUUAACUUGUAGUCUUGUACUCCACUUGUUUUAACCAUUGUUUAAAAAAAACCCAAGAACCAACUCACUACACCAAGCGAUUUCCGUAUAUAAAAUGCGUUCUUCCUUUAAUCCUUCGCCCUCGCUGGCUCUUUAUAAGAAAAAUCUGGCGGGCACGCUGCAAUUUCAAAGUUGAAAAGUUGCAACACAGAGAGUGAAAAAAAGGACGAGGGAAAUGGAGAAAGAUUUCAAGGAAGAUAUGGAAGGCGAUUCCAAACUUCACAACGCCACACGCUGUGCGAAAGCUGCUAUGCUGCUUUUGUCCCUCAGAAAUCGCCACCAUCAGCAGGAGAAGGAGAUGAUGAACCAAACAAUUGAUGAUUUGAAGAUGGAGGUGGUUAAAGAGCGUUUUCAGAAGAGAAAUUUGAAGAUUUUUAAUCUGCUGGAGUUUACCAUUCAGAUCAUUUUGAUGUUUUCUCUACUCACCUUCUUCAUCUUGUUUGCCUUCAAAUCAGGUUGAAGAUUAUCUGUCAUAGUUACACUUUCAGAUGAAGUAGAAUAAAACAACGAAAUAACCUCGUGAUUUGUGUUGAAUUUUGAUUUUACUGAGUGUGAACGUCGAAUUUUGCAUAUUUUGAAGUGUAAUCUUGAGUAUAUCAACUUGAUCGAUGCUAAUACACAAAAUUUCUUGCACAUUCAUAUA